rnacentral:lncRNA from 1 species
UUCCAUCGCAGCAAGCAAGCUGUUUAAAUUUUGUAAGCGGUAAACUUGAAAACCCGCCCUCCCACUCCUUUUUAUUGAACAAGAUACUGCUCUUUUUUUAUUUUUCAGGUUUGUGUCGGUGAUAGUGAUGAUACAGAUUUGACUGAUGAUGUUAACUCGUUUGCUGUUGAGAAAAGUGACUUUUAUUUGAACUUUGAGCAUCAUAAAUAUAUUCCCGUAAAUGGCAGAAUUCGCU